GACGAACGCUGGCGGCGUGCUUAACACAUGCAAGUCGAACGGAAAGGCCCUGCUUUUGUUGGUUGCUCGAGUGGCGAACGGGUGAGUAACACGUGAGUAACCUGCCCUUGACUUUGGGAUAACUUCAGGAAACUGGGGCUCAUACCGCAUAUGAGCUCCUGCUGCAUGGUGUGGGUUGGAAAGUUUCGGCGGUUGUGUAUGGACUCGCGGCUUAUCCGCUUGUUUGUGGGGUAGUUGCUUACCAAGGCUUUGACGGGUAGCCGGCCUGAGAGGGUUACCGGCGACAUUGGGACUGAGAUACGGACCAGACUCCUACGGGAGGCAGCAGUGGGGAAUAUUGCACAAUGGGCGGAAGCCUGAUGCAGCAACGCCGCGUGCGGGAUGACGGCCUUCGGGUUGUAAACCGCUUUCGCCGGUGACGAAGAGUGAGUGACGGUAAUGGGUAAAGAAGCAACGGCUAACUACGUG
rnacentral:rRNA from 1 species